ACGGAAGGCAGCAGUGGGGAAUAUUGGACAAUGGGGGAAACCCUGAUCCAGCGACGCCGCGUGAGUGAAGAAGUAUUUCGGUAUGUAAAGCUCUAUCAGCAAGGAAGAAAAUGACGGUACUUGACUAAGAAGCUCCGGCUAAAUACGUGCCAGCAGCCGCGGUAAUACGUAUGGAGCAAGCGUUAUCCGGAUUUACUGGGUGUAAAGGGAGUGUAGGUGGUUUGGCAAGCCAGAUGUGAAAGCCCGGGGCUCAACCCCGCGGACUGCAUUUGGAACUGUUAAACUUGAGUGCAGGAGAGGAAAGUGGAAUUCCUAGUGUAGCGGUGAAAUGCGUAGAUAUUAGGAGGAACACCAGUGGCGAAGGCGGCUUUCUGGACUGUAACUGACACUGAGGCUCGAAAGCGUGGGGAGCAAACAGGAUUAGAUACCCUGGUA
rnacentral:rRNA from 1 species